rnacentral:misc_RNA from 1 species
GAUGAAGAACGUAGUGAAAUGCGAUAAGUAAUGUGAAUUGCAGAAUUCAGUGAAUCAUCGAAUCUUUGAACGCACAUUGCGCCCGCCAGUAUUCUGGCGGGCAUGCCUGUUCGAGCGUCAUUACAACCCUCAGGCCCCCGGGCCUGGCGUUGGGGAUCGGCGGAGCCCCCCGUGGGCACACGCCGUCCCCCAAAUACAGUGGCGGUCCCGCCGCAGCUUCCAUCGCGUAGUAGCUAACACCUCGCGACUGGAGAGCGGCGCGGCCACGCCGUAAAACACCCAACUCUUCUGAAGUUGACCUCGAAUCAGGUAGGAAUACCCGCUGAACUUAAGCAUAUCAUAAGCGGAGGA